rnacentral:rRNA from 1 species
UACGGGGGGGGCAAGCGUUGUUCGGAAUUACUGGGCGUAAAGGGCGCGUAGGCGGCCUGCUAAGUCACACGUGAAAUCCCUCGGCUCAACCGGGGAACUGCGUGUGAUACUGGCGGGCUUGAAUUCGGGAGAGGGAUGUGGAAUUCCAGGUGUAGCGGUGAAAUGCGUAGAUAUCUGGAGGAACACCGGUGGCGAAGGCGGCAUCCUGGACCGAGAAUGACGCUGAGGCGCGAAAGCUAGGGGAGCAAACGGG